UUAUCGGAGAGUUUGAUCCUGGCUCAGGACGAACGCUGGCGGCGUGCCUAAUACAUGCAAGUCGAGCGGACAGAUGGGAGCUUGCUCCCUGAUGUUAGCGGCGGACGGGUGAGUAACACGUGGGUAACCUGCCUGUAAGACUGGGAUAACUCCGGGAAACCGGGGCUAAUACCGGAUGGUUGUCUGAACCGCAUGGU
rnacentral:rRNA from 1 species